rnacentral:rRNA from 1 species
AACGUAGGAGGCAAGCGUUAUCCGGAUUUACUGGGCGUAAAGGGCGUGCAGGCGGUGGGGUAAGUCGUGCGUGAAAGCGCUCCGCUCAACGGGGCGAGGACGGGCGAGACUGCUCGACUAGAGGACAGGCGAGGCAAGUGGAAUUCCGGGUGGAGUGGUGAAAUGCGUAGAGAUCCGGAGGAACCCCAGUGGCGAAGGCGACUUGCUAAUCUGUACCUGACGCUGAGACGCGAAAGCAUGGGGAGCGAACGGG